GCGGAGGGUUUCUAGAUCCUGCAGCCGGGUGGUAUGAGAUGAGCAAAGAUCACGUGCGUAGUUGGCAGAUCACAGCAUCAUCCCCAGACACCCCCCGUUUCUGUAGUUCACCCCAUGUGGGGGGUGUCCUGUGACAUCUCCAGGCACCUUUUACACAGGCAAACAAGAACAUAGAGGGAGCAGAGAUGGGCCCCUGAGGGCUGGCGAGUGACAACUCCUUGCUGGGGAGGGGACACCAUGAUCCUAUACCACCCAGGCUGCUCUUGGUCCCCAGUCUCUGAGAAUCGCAUGUCCUCUGGCCGGAUUGUCAGGACCUGCGAAUCCAAGGCCACAGGCCCAUCCCCGACUUCCCAAGGGACAAGCAGUGGAGGCACUCACUUUUCAAGGGGCCAGAGGGACUGUCACUGUAGCAAAAAUGGCCAGAGCUGCCUGAGCCCCCGGAGAUGGAAGUAGACCCCUGGGCAGACAAACCCCUCACCUAGCCGGAGGCCACCCUGGAUGGGGGAAGGGGGAUGGCCUCGUCUCUUCAUAUUCUGCUGACAUGUCACUGUGCCGAUCUGGGAGGACACAGGUGUCUUUCACAGUGGACCAGCAUCACCUCGAGAGCCUGUCCAAAAUGCAGAUUCCCAGCCUCCUCCCCAGUUCCAGUUCACGAGGCUGGGGCGCACUUGGAAUCAGCAUUCUGAGUGAGCAUCUCAGGCGCCCACCAGGACCCGCUGAGAAGUGCUGGCCCAGAGCCGCUCCUGCGGGAACAGCGAGCAGGCCUGAGGGCGCUGCAUCCUCCAGACACUCAGAGGAGCUGCUGAUACCGACUCCUGUUCUGAACAGAGGGGACUGCUACACAAGGUGAGCGCGGGGCCGUCAGAGCAAACCCCACAGGCCGGCUGCCCUCCCGAGUCUCCCGCCGCCCCACCUGCACCCAUGGCCGCAUCCCACACCGAGCUGACCAGUACCUGCCAUGGAGGA